CGCAGCGAGAAAGCGUUGCCGCAGGCAACGACCCGAAGGGCGAAGCGCGCAGCGCUGAGUAAUCCUUCCCCCACCACCA
rnacentral:sRNA from 2 species